rnacentral:rRNA from 1 species
CCUACGGGAGGCUGCAGUCGAGAAUCAUUGACAAUGGCGGGAACGCUGAUGGUGCGACGCCGCGUGGGGGAAUGAAGGUCUUCGGAUUGUAAACCCCUGUCAUGUGGGAGCAAAUUAAGACGCUAGUACCACACGAGGAAGAGAUGGCUAACUCUGUGCCAGCAGCCGCGGUAAUACAGAGGUCUAAAGCGUUGUUCGGAAUCACUGGGCGUAAAGCGUGCGUAGGCUGUGUCGUAAGUCGUGUGUGAAAGGCCCGGGCUCAACCCGCGGGGGGCAGAUGAGACUGCGAGACUAGAGAAAUGGAGGGGUAAGCGGAAUGCGCGGUGUAGCAGUGAAAUGCGUAGAUAUCGAGAGGAACACUCGUGGCGAAGGCGGGUUCCUGGACAUUAACUGACGCUGAGGCACGAAGGCCAGGGGAGCGAAAGGGAUUAGAUACCCUUGUAGUC